GUCCUCUUGUUUGUUUAUGAGGUCUGACCUGCCCAGUGAUGAAUUUUAACGGCCGCGGUAUUUUGACCGUGCAAAGGUAGCGUAAUCAUUAGUCUUUUAAUAGAGGGCUUGUAUGAAGGGUUUGACGAGUUGUUAGCUGUCUCAUUCAAUUUGAAAUUAAAAUUUAACUUUUCAGUUAAAAGGCUGAAAUUAAUUUGGAAGACGAGAAGACCCUAUAGAGUUUUAUAAAUAAUUAUUUUAUUUAAAUUUUUGUUAUAUUAUAUUUAUUUAUUAUUUUAUUUAUUUUGUUGGGGUGACAAAAAUAUAUAAUUAACUUUUUUAUUUUAUUGACAUUGAUGUAUGAAUAUUAGAUCCAUUCUUAUUGAUUGCUAGAUUAAGUUACC
rnacentral:rRNA from 1 species